CCUACGGGAGGCUGCAGUAGGGAAUAUUGCUCAAUGGGGGAAACCCUGAAGCAGCAACGCCGCGUGAAGGAUGAAGGUUUUCGGAUUGUAAACUCCUUUUGUUAGAGCAGAUAAUGACGGUAUCUAACGAAUAAGCACCGGCUAACUCCGUGCCAGCAGCCUCGGUAAUACGGAGGGUGCAAGCGUUACUCGGAAUCACUGGGCGUAAAGAGCGCGUAGGCGGGAUGGCAAGUCAGAUGUGAAAUCCUAUGGCUUAACCAUAGAACUGCAUUUGAAACUGUUAUUCUAGAGGAUGGGAGAGGUAAGUGGAAUUCCUGGUGUAGCGGUAAAAUGCGUAGAGAUCAGGAGGAAUACUGGUGGCGAAGGCGACCUACUGGAACGUAACUGACGCUGAUGCGCGAAAGCGUGGGGAGCAAACAGGAUUAGAUACCCGAGUAGUC
rnacentral:rRNA from 1 species